rnacentral:rRNA from 1 species
AGAGUUUGAUCCUGGCUCAGGAUGAACGCUAGCGGCAGGCUUAAUACAUGCAAGUCGAGGGGCAGCAUAAGGGUAGCAAUACUCUGGUGGCGACCGGCGGACGGGUGCGUAACGCGUAUGCAAUCUACCUGUUAUUGUGGGAUAGCCCGGAGAAAUUCGGAUUAAUACCGCAUAUUAUUGUGAGAGGACAUCUUCUUAUAAUGAAAGAUUCAUUGAUAACAGUUGAGCAUGCGUAUCAUUAGAUAGUUGGUGAGGUAACGGCUCACCAAGUCGACGAUGAUUAGGGGUUCUGAGAGGAACAUCCCCCACACUGGUACUGAGACACGGACCAGACUCCUACGGGAGGCAGCAGUAGGGAAUAUUGGGCAAUGGGAGCAAUCCUGACCCAGCCAUGCCGCGUGCAGGAAGACGGCGCUAUGCGUUGUAAACUGCUUUUGUGCGGGAAUAAAGUUAUCUACGUGUAGAUAGUUGCAUGUACCGUAAGAAUAAGGAUCGGCUAACUCCGUGCCAGCAGCCGCGGUAAUACGGAGGAUUCAAGCGUUAUCCGGAUUUAUUGGGUUUAAAGGGUGCGCAGGCGGAUAAUUAAGUCAGUGGUGAAAGGUUAGGGCUUAACUUUAACAUUGCCAUUGAUACUGGUUGUCUAGAUGAUAGUUGACGUUGGCGGAAUAUGUCAAGUAGCGGUGAAAUGCUUAGAUAUGACAUAGAACACCUGUGGGGAAGCCGGCUGACGAAACUAUUCAUGACGCUCAUGCACGAAAGCGUGGGGAUCAAACAGGAUUAGAUACCCUGGUAGUCCACGCAGUAAACGAUGAUCACUCGUUGUCGGCGAUAUACCGUCGGUGGCUAAGCGAAAGUGAUAAGUGAUCCACCUGGGGAGUACGUUCGCAAGUAUGAAACUCAAAGGAAUUGACGGGGGCCCGCACAAGCGGAGGAGCAUGUGGUUUAAUUCGAUGAUACGCGAGGAACCUUACCAGGACUUGAACGUAGGAGGAAUACGUAUGAAAGUAUGUAGUCGCAAGACCUUCUACGAGGUGCUGCAUGGUUGUCGUCAGCUCGUGCCGUGAGGUGUUAGGUUAAGUCCUGCAACGAGCGCAACCCUUACUGUCAGUUACCAGCAUGUAAUGAUGGGGACUCUGGCGGAACUGCCCGCGCAAGCGUGGAGGAAGGUGGGGAUGACGUCAAAUCAGCACGGCCCUUACGUUCUGGGCGACACACGUGCUACAAUGGAUGGUACAGAGGGCAGCUACACUGCGAAGUGAUGCGAAUCUCAAAAGCCAUUCUCAGUUCGGAUCGAAGUCUGCAACCCGACUUCGUGAAGUUGGAUUCGCUAGUAAUCGCGCAUCAGCCAUGGCGCGGUGAAUACGUUCCCGGGCCUUGUACACACCGCCCGUCAAGCCAUGGAAGUUGGGGGUACCUGAAGUAUGUGACCGCAAGGAGCGUCCUAAGGUAAAACCAGUAACUGGGGCUAAGUCGUAACAAGGUAACCGUA